CCGGGUGUGGCUCCGACCCACUCCCCUCGCUCCCUCUCGGUGAGCUGGGGGCUCCCGGGGGCACCACCUGGGACUCCUUGGCUCCCUGACAUCCAGGGUGGCGCUGCAGUCCCGAUCCCCCCGGCCUGCGUCUCCCCAACUUUCCCGCUGAAUCUUCCAGUUCCGCGCCACCCCCCACCUCCCGUUGUGGGCACGGUAGGGCCCUUCCGGAAACCGGAUCCUGGAUUGCGUUCCACAUCCCCAGAUAGUGGAAUGCUUGUGGAAUUAACGUCGUCAUCAAAUACAUUGAGCUCCAGCCACAAGCUGGGGGUGGAGGUCCAGGCUUUUUUCCGGACUCCCUUCCGGCUAGCCGUGGUGCACUAACCCCCUGCAGGCUGUGUUCACGCCGCCAACCCCAGUCCUCUCCCUGCCAUCCGACGGAAGCCCGAGCCUCAGCUCCCAGCCCCGCAAGCCCUGGUGGGUGAGCCGACAAGCAUCUAGGGCUGGUCACCUGAAGCAAAUGCCUCAGCUCUCCACGGUUCGCCUGUAUUCUGCCGUCCCAUCGGCGAUGACUGCAUCCAGGGGAUAGCGCUUCUUGCGGAUGCUGCGCCCGGAAGAGAUGAGGUCGGCAUAGCCACGCUGGUGGGAGAAAGCGUAGGCCGAGCGCCGUGCAGACACGCCCCGGCGGAACACAUUCUGCCGCCGCUUCCACUGCUCUUCGGCUUUUAACCGCUUUCGGUGCUUCUGAAUCUACGAAGGCAGGAGAGAUGGGAAAAUACCAACCUGUAAAUUGAAAUGCAGAUGGAAAGAGAACAUGUAUUCCGGCACUAUGAAGGUCAAACAUGAUGCCAAAAUAAAUUGCAAUGCUUCCAAAAAUUGAAAAAGCAUUCACAAAAGUCCAAUAAGAAGUAUCCAAGCCAAUCUGUUGGGGAAACCAGAGAAAAACAGAGCACUCAUUUGGGGAGUUAGCAAGAAAUCAAGGAUCUAAGGAUUCUGAAAAUAGAAUUCAGCAAUUUAAGCAUGGUAUGGCUUGAAUACUGAACAAUCAGAAGCUAUCUUUGGCU